rnacentral:rRNA from 1 species
AACAACAGGGAUUACCUCAGUAACGGCGAGUGAAGCGGUAACAGCUCAAAUUUGAAAUCUGGCCUCACGGUCCGAGUUGUAAUUUGUAGAGGAUGCUUCGAGCAUGGUCUGGCCUAAGUUCCUUGGAACAGGACGUCAUAGAGGGUGAGAAUCCCGUAUGCGGCCAGGUGCCUACGCUCAUGUGAGGCUCCUUCGACGAGUCGAGUUGUUUGGGAAUGCAGCUCAAAAUGGGUGGUAAAUUUCAUCUAAAGCUAAAUAUUGGCCAGAGACCGAUAGCGCACAAGUAGAGUGAUCGAAAGAUGAAAAGCACUUCGGAAAGAGAGUUAAACAGUACGUGAAAUUGUUGAAAGGGAGGCGCUUGCAACCAGACUUGCGCGCGGCCGAUCAUCCGGUGUUCUCACCGGUGCACUCGGCCGUGCUCAGGCCAGCAUCGGUUUUGGCGGCUGGAUAAAGGCCCUAGGAAUGUAGCUCCUCUCGGGGAGUGUUAUAGCCUAGGGUGCAAUGCAGCCUGCUGGGACCGAGGACCGCGCUUCGGCUAGGAUGCUGGCGUAAUGGUUGUAAGCGGCCCGUCUUGAAACACGGACCAAGGAGUCUAACAUCUAUGCGAGUGUUUGGGUGUCAAACCCAUACGCGUAAUGAAAGUGAACGGAGGUGAGAACCCUUAAGGGUGCAUCAUCGACCGGUCCUGAAGUUUACGGAAGGAUCUGAGUAAGAGCAUAGCUGUUGGGACCCGAAAGAUGGUGAACUAUGCCUGAAUAGGGUGAAGCCAGAGGAAACUCUGGUGGAGGCUCGCAGCGGUUCUGACGUGCAAAUCGAUCGUCAAAUUUUGGGUAUAGGGGCGAAAGACUAAUCGAACCAUCUAGUA